rnacentral:lncRNA from 1 species
GUGACCUUGAACAGUGGGGUGACCUCAGGCAUUCCUUGAUUCUGUGAAACAAAGGUAUACCUCUGACUUCCUUAUCACCCUUCCCAACCCCACAUCUGGGAAUCAUAUUUGUGACACAAAACCUGUUUUGCAGGUAAGUCCCUGGAAUCCCAGGCCCCAGCUCUGACUCUACACUUGGCUUCCUCCCAGGCCCUCAACCUAGCGCGAGGGUGAGUUGGUUCUGAACAAGCAAACAAAUGAGUCUUGAGAUACCGAAAGUUUCUUUAAAGAGGAGUGGAGGGGAGGAAAGAAGAAUGAGGUGUGGAGUGGGGGAGCCCUUCUUUCCUCCCCACCCCUCUCCACCCCUGAGCCUCCACCGCACUUACUACUCUCUCAACACGUCUUGUUUGUUUACUUGAUUUUUGUCUGUCCCUCCCAUGAUCCCAGCAGGCAGGAAGCAUCUUGUUUCCCGAUGCAUCCUCAGUGAGGACCUGCACAGGGACAGAGCAGGCACAUGUUUACUAAGCAGCUGGUGAAUGAAUGUCAAGUUUUUUGAAAUGACAACGCACUACUUUUGCAAAAUCAAGUCUUUUCUUUCUUUCUUUUUCUCGAAAGAAUUUUUUAAAGCCUCUAGGUUACUGUAGAGGACUCUACCCACCCUCAGGGUGGCAGCGCAGAGAUAACGAAAGGGUGCACGGUGACGAUGAGACGCGGGCUGGAGGCGGAAGAGCGCGGGAUAGGGAACCAAGGG